rnacentral:rRNA from 1 species
UGGCGAACGAACAGGGAGUAGCUCAGCAUGGAAAUUGGGGCUUCUGGCCUCGAAUUGUAGACUUGAGAUGCACUGCCAACGGAGGUGCAGAUGUAAGCCUCUUGGAAAAGAGCAUCGACGAGGGUGCGAGUCCUGUUUGUCAUCUGCAGUCCCCCAUGUACGGCGCGCCUCCCAAGAGUCACGUUCCUCGGAACUGGAGCGCAAAGUGGGUGGUGGCUUUCAUCUCAAGCUCAAUACGGGUUCGAGACCGAUAGCAAACAAGUACCAUGAGGGAAAAGUGAAAAGGACUUUGAAAAGAGAGUUACAAGUGCCUGAAAUUGCUGAAAGGGAAGCGAAGGGAGCUGGUGUUGCUUGGCGACAUCUUCCGCGCGCUAAGGUGAUGGCUUGCUGCUUCGACGCAAGUGUAGCAGCGGGAUUUGACCUAGUCGCGCGCGGUGCUUCUUGCCCUGCUCGUCAACGCCAACUUGCAAAGGAGGAGCGCUCCAGGGACAUGGCUGUCUGUCUCCGGGUGUCCGAAAGUGCCUGGUGGAACUCAUUUGCGAGUUGACUCACUGGCGUCUGGUUGCAGCGCUCCGUGUCUGCUGGAUGCAGCAUCGGGGGCGUGGCCCUGACGCGCGGACGAGGACCAAGUGGUUCCAUUCGACCCGUCUUGAAACACGGACCAAGGAGUCUAACAUAUCUGCGAGCUCGCGGGCGUGUAAGCCUGUUUGCGCAAUUAAAGUGACUGCUGGGACUUGUGCACCAGCGCCCGAUCAAUCAACUGAGAGAGGUUUGAGUGUGAGCAUAUCUGUUAGGACCCGAAAGAUGGUGAACUAUGCCUGAGAAGGGCAAACUCAGGGGAAACUCUGGUGGAGGCUUGUAGCGAUACUGACGUGCAAAUCGUUCGUCAUACUUGGGUAUAGGGGCGAAAGACUAAUCGAACCAUCUAGUAGCUGGUUCCCUCCGAAGUUUCCCUCAGGAUAACUGGAGUUGAGCAGUUUUAUCAGGUAAAGCGAAUGACUAGAGGAAUCGGGGACGCGUCGUCCUCGACCUAUUCUCAAACUUUAAAUCGGUCAGAUCCAGUGGUUGCUUGGGUGAACUUCUGGGAUUAAUGACAACUCCAAGUGGGCCAUUUUUGGUAAGCAGAACUGGCGAUGAGGGAUGAACCUGACGUUGGGUUAAGGUGCUUAAGUGCUCGCUCAUCAGACACCAUAAAGGGUGUUGGUUCAUUUUAACAGCAGGACGGUGGUCAUGGAAGUCGAAAUCCGCUAAGGAGUGUGUAACAACUCACCUGCCGAAUGGACUAGCCCCGAAAAUGGAUGGCGCUCAAGCGGGUGACCGAAACUCAACCAUUG